GCCAGACAUUAGUAAAAAAAUUGAUUUAUGAAAUCAGUCAAUAAAAUAACUGAUGAUUAAUCAAUGAAAUAAAUUCAUAAUAAUGAUAAUUUAACAAGAUGAAUUGAUAAGAUGAAACCGUGUUAAUUCAUUUUAUUCAUUUUGUUUAAUUUUUUUAUGUUCCAGGGCUAGGGAACCUGUCUCACCCUCCGGGUCACGAUGGGGUCAAUGUCUCGGGGGUCGUGUGCACUCAGGGUCAUCAGGUCGGCGUUCAGAGUUCUGAUUCGCUGAAGUCUCAGUCUGAUGUAACGAGCUGACGUGAAGUUCAGCAGGUCAGAGGUCAAAUCAUCUGCACUGGGUCGGCCGUUAAUCAGAGACGUGUGGAUCUGAAAGAGAGAGACAGGUCACAGCGAUGAGACAGACAGACAGACAGGCAGGCAGAGACACAGACAGACAGACAGUCAGCCUGUCUCACCUCCCCGUGCUCCAGCGGGUUGAGUCUGGAGUAGUACGACGUGCAGAUGACCUCCCUGUCCCUUUUGUAGGUCGGAGGUCCGAGUCUCGGUGUGAUGUUGUAACGAGUCAAACACUCAGAAUCACUGAUGGCGUAGAACUGCCAGGGGUCAAAGUUCACACCAUCCAGAGAACGCUCAAGGAUCCAGUUACCUGAGAGAGAGACGGGUCAGUCAGACAGACAGGUGAGCAGACAUACAGGUGAGACAGACAGACAGGUGGACAGACAGACAGGUGAGCAGACAGACCUGGGCGAGGAGAGUUCGCUGCCUUGAUGAUGAUGUAGGCGACUUGAAAAAUCUGUAAAGAAAAUGUGUUGAAACCAUUAAGUCAGAGAACUGAGGUUAAACAUGUUAGUACACAUGUUACUACACAUGUUACACAUGUCCAGUGUGUGUGUGUCCAAUGUGUUACCUGUUUUAGAUCCAGUGUGAUGGUGAUCCAGUGGAACUGUUGUCCGUUCUUGAUACUCGGACUCUGCCACCAUUGAUUUGUCCCGUCGAUGGCGUUUGUGAUCGGAUGACGUUCUGAUGGAAAUAGAUGUUUUGUUACUAUGAGACGUGAUGUAGUACAGAUCCACCAUGUCGACAGUUUGACCUUCAUGUUGUUUUCCUUCUUUCUCACAGGAAGCGUGUUGUUCUUCACUCAGGCUUUUUCACUGCAUGUCUGUCUUUUGCGUCCACAACAAACCAAAGAGGUCCACGUUACUGUUAAAGAACAUUUUACUGGGAACAAACGAUCUCGGAGUUGAGCCAUGAAGCAGAAACAGAAACUCCAACCCUUAACUAACCCUCUGGACUAUGGUUCUGGUUUGUUCACUGUUUAAGUGGACUCUGUGGCUCCUGUUCGAAGUGGACUCUGCUUCUGGUUUCAGUCUAUAAAGUGGAUUCUGGUUGUGACUCUGGCACCUUUGGACAGGACGGAGUUGGCAUCACAUUUGGGACAGUGUGGGUUCUUGAUUGUUCUUCCUGGAACGUGUUCAACCAGUUUACAGUAAACUUCAGGUUCUGGAUCUCCACACGUGGCGUUGCUGCUGAUCAUGGCGUUACUCGCGAGGUUCAAGAUGGCGGGAAACAGACCUGAAACACAAGAGACGAGAGUCCAGACGCAGACGGUUACUCAGACAGUCGUGGUGUUUCUGCAGAACAACUCUCAGCAACAAGACCAGUAACUUCAUCUCUGCAGACUUUGACUGGAGCUUCACUUUCUAUCUUCAGACUCUCUGGUCUCAGACUCUGUGACUCAGCUCCAGUUCUAAGUGCUUAAUAAGAGGAGGGGGAGGGGAGGAGGGCUGGACUGUACCAUCUGACCUGGUGACGGGGAGAGGCCUCCUCCUUUUAAAGGUGAGGGGAACUGAGCCCAUCUCCCGAAGGAG